UGGGAGAUGGCUUAAUUGGUAAAGCGUUUGCCUCAAAAGCAUGAAAGUCGGAGUUCAAACCACAGAACCCUUGUAA
rnacentral:tRNA from 1 species